UCGGAGUGCUUGCACUCUGUGAAACAAGAUACAGGCUAGCGGCGGACGGGUGAGUAACACGUGGGUAACCUGCCCAAGAGAUCGGGAUAACACCUGGAAACAGAUGCUAAUACCGGAUAACAACAGAUGAUGCCUAUCAACUGUUUAAAAGAUGGUUCUGCUAUCACUCUUGGAUGGACCUGCGGUGCAUUAGCUAGUUGGUAGGGUAACGGCCUACCAAGGCGAUGAUGCAUAGCCGAGUUGAGAGACUGAUCGGCCACAUUGGGACUGAGACACGGCCCAAACUCCUACGGGAGGCAGCAGUAGGGAAUCUUCCACAAUGGACGCAAGUCUGAUGGAGCAACGCCGCAUGAGUGAAGAAGGGUUUCGGCUCGUAAAGCUCUGUUGUUGGUGAAGAAGGACAGGGGUAGUAACUGACCUUUGUUUGACGGUAAUCAAUUAGAAAGUCACGGCUAACUACGUGCCAGCAGCCGCGGUAAUACGUAGGUGGCAAGCGUUGUCCGGAUUUAUUGGGCGUAAAGCGAGUGCAGGCGGCUCGAUAAGUCUGAUGUGAAAGCCUUCGGCUCAACCGGAGAAUUGCAUCAGAAACUGUCGAGCUUGAGUACAGAAGAGGAGAGUGGAACUCCAUGUGUAGCGGUGAAAUGCGUAGAUAUAUGGAAGAACACCGGUGGCGAAGGCGGCUCUCUGGUCUGUUACUGACGCUGAGGCUCGAAAGCNUGGGUAGC
rnacentral:rRNA from 1 species